rnacentral:lncRNA from 1 species
AAAUUUUAUGGCCCGGUUUUACAUGUAUGUGUAUGUUUAAGUCCGGUAAUGCCUCGUAUCCUGUCCCGGCAUCAGACACGGGUAAGGGGUGUUAUAGUAUGCCAUUGGGGAGAUUAGUCACGAUACUAUAGUUGAAUGACUUCGUAAUUAAAUGAGUUUAUAAUUAAUAGGUAAAAAGAUAGAACUUAAUUAUAAAUCAUUUGAGCCUCAAUUACUUUUGUCCAAUCGGUCCCUCUGCUAGCUAGUUGAAACAAGAAAUGUAACCUCCCAAACCUGGCCUAGACGUUAUGACUGAAUUCUGAAGGUUACAUGGGCC